rnacentral:lncRNA from 1 species
CAGGUAGAAAUUAGUUUCUCUCUGUAAGUAGUAUUAUAUUUUUUUAGAGGUUUAUUGAAGAUUAAGGAUUAAAGAAAAUACAGGAUAAGAAACACGUGUCCAGGCCAUAGAGUGGACUACAUUAUGAAAAAAAGCCACAUCUGCCCCAAACGGAAGUCCAAGACCCAAGAGACCCUUAAAAGCCCUUGAAUCAGCUUAAAUACCUUCUCGAUCUCGGCCCAGAAGGUCUGAGGGCUCCUGAUGGGAUUUGGAUCAACUGGUGUGGGCCAAAUAAUCCCCGAGCCAAAAAAAAAGAAAAAAGAAAAAAAAACAACCUCCUCCUCCACAAUCUGUGUUGAAUGCCCUGAGACUGGCCCAGUUACUUUCAAGAAAAGAAUACAGACUAAAGAAGAGACAGCAGAAGAUGACCAACAUUUAAGCACACCCAAACCUUCGGAAAAAAUGGAAAUUGGUCACAAGUUCUUGAAGACUUUAAACCCAAGAUUGUCAGAAAAAUGGAAGAGAGGUGGCAAGAAAAGUAGUAAAUAGUUCAAAAAGAAAAUAACAGUUUAAAUGACAGGAUCUCCCAUUUGGAAAUUAAAGCCCAGAAAUCAAAUGAAAUAAUAAGCAAAAUGAAGACCAGAAAUGACCUGCUGGAAAUCAUGUAAAGCAGGAUAGAUCAAAUUAACAAGCAAAAUCAAAAGAUCUUAGCUGUAAACCAGUCAUUAAAAACUAGAAUUGGGCAAGUAGAAGCCAAUGAUCUCACAAGACAGCAAGAAUUAGUAAAGCAAAGUCAAAAGAAUGACAGAUUAGAAGGAAACAUAAAAUAUCUCAUUGAGAGGGUGGUUGACCUUAAAAAUAGAUAUUGGAGAGAUAAUUUGAGAAUCAUAGGCCUACCUGAAAACCUGGAACCAAACAGAAACACUGACACCAUACUUCAAGAACUUAUCCAAGAAAACUUCCCUGAGGUUCUGCAACAAGAGGGCAAAAUAGACAUUGAAAAAGUCCAUAGAUCAGACUACACUAAAUACUAAAAAGACAACCCCCAGGAAUGUAAUUGCCAAAUUCCAGAGCUUCCAAGCUAAGGAAAAAAAUAUUACAAUAAGCCAGAAAGAGACAAUUCAGCUAUCAAGGAAUACCAAUCAGGAUUACACAGGAUCUGGCAGCCUCAACACUAAAAGACCACAAAGCUUGAAAUACAAUGCCCAGAAAGGCAAGAGAAUUGGGUUUACAACCAAGGAUCACCUACUGAUCAAAAUUGACUUUAUACUUCCUGGAGAAAGUAUGGGCAUUCAAAAAAAUAGAAGACUUCCAAAUAUUUGCAAAAAAAAAAGACCAGAACUAAACAGAAAAUUUGACAACAAUAUACAAAAACCAAGAGAAACAUGAAAAGGUAAAUAAGAAAGAAAUGGAUCUUAUUUUUUCUUCCAUUUCUUUAAGGGCCUCAAUAAGGCCAAAUUGUUUAUAUUCUUAAAGGGAAAAUAUUAUUUGUAACUCACAAAAAAUUGUAUUCAUUAUUAUAGUAGUAAGAAGAAUUAUACAUAGGUAG